rnacentral:ncRNA from 2 species
UGUUAUAAUGAUGACAAUCGAACAUGAAACUCCCUUUUCAAAGAGGAAGCCGGUGAAAAUCCGGCGCGGCCCCGCCGCUGUAACUCUGACAAAUCCGAAGCAUGUCACUGAUCGCGUUAUUGGGAAGACUCGGACGAGGAUGAAGAGAAGCCAGAAUAUUCUUUGAGGGAGCUUGCAA